rnacentral:rRNA from 1 species
GUCGAGCGGAACGAUGGUAGCUUGCUACCAGGCGUCGAGCGGCGGACGGGUGAGUAAUACUUAGGAAUCUACCUAGUAGUGGGGGAUAGCACGGGGAAACUCGUAUUAAUACCGCAUACGACCUACGGGAGAAAGGGGGCAGUUUACUGCUCUCGCUAUUAGAUGAGCCUAAGUCGGAUUAGCUAGAUGGUGGGGUAAAGGCCUACCAUGGCGACGAUCUGUAGCUGGUCUGAGAGGAUGAUCAGCCACACCGGGACUGAGACACGGCCCGGACUCCUACGGGAGGCAGCAGUGGGGAAUAUUGGACAAUGGGGGAAACCCUGAUCCAGCCAUGCCGCGUGUGUGAAGAAGGCCUUUUGGUUGUAAAGCACUUUAAGCAGUGAAGAAGACUCCGUGGUUAAUACCCACGGACGAUGACAUUAGCUGCAGAAUAAGCACCGGCUAACUCUGUGCCAGCAGCCGCGGUAAUACAGAGGGUGCAAGCGUUAAUCGGAAUUACUGGGCGUAAAGGGAGCGUAGGUGGCUCGAUAAGUCAGAUGUGAAAUCCCCGGGCUCAACCUGGGAACUGCAUCUGAUACUGUUGAGCUAGAGUAUGUGAGAGGAAGGUAGAAUUCCAGGUGUAGCGGUGAAAUGCGUAGAGAUCUGGAGGAAUACCGAUGGCGAAGGCAGCCUUCUGGCAUAAUACUGACACUGAGGCUCGAAAGCGUGGGUAGCAAACAGGAUUAGAUACCCUGGUAGUCCACGCCGUAAACGAUGUCUACUAGUCGUUGGGUCCCUUGAGGACUUAGUGACGCAGCUAACGCAAUAAGUAGACCGCCUGGGGAGUACGGCCGCAAGGUUAAAACUCAAAUGAAUUGACGGGGGCCCGCACAAGCGGUGGAGCAUGUGGUUUAAUUCGAUGCAACGCGAAGAACCUUACCUGGUCUUGACAUAUCUAGAAUCCUGCAGAGAUGCGGGAGUGCCUUCGGGAAUUAGAAUACA